UUCUCUCUUACAAGCUACUAGUCUUCGUCUCGUUUGUGCGAAACACAAAUCUCCUUACUGAAAUUCUCGAUUCUUGCAGGUUUUUUCCGCAAAAUCUCACAUCUUCGUCUCUGCAUCUCCGUUCUUCUUUACCAUCUCCUUCGAUUGGUUACUUUAUGCUUGUUGAAAAUUCAGUAUAAUUUUUUGGGGGUUGCUUUCGAAAUCUGCAUGAUAAAUGAUCGGAAGCUCGUCUUACUUACUUGUUGGGUGACAUAUUGACCUCUACUUUGAUAAAAAUUGAAACUUUGCUUAGUAAAACUUUUCUGUCUGGUCUCGGAACCAAAUUGAAAUUUUUGAUGUUGAAGCGCUUCGGUUACUCAUUUCGUCUUCUAGGACUAACAAAGCUUUCGUCUUUUCCUUUUCUUCAGGACACUCAUUCAACCACAUGUCUGAAAACAUGGAGCAAUCGCCGGAGAUGCUGCUGUCUCCUCCGAUUCCGUCGCUUCCAGACGACGUCACCAUCGAUAUCGUAGCUCGUGUGCCCAGAAGCCAUGUCCAAAUGGACAAAAUAGUUUAUUGGACAUUUUUUUUUUAAGCCCAAAUUGUCCAAACCAAAUUCUCCAAACCAAAUUGGA
rnacentral:lncRNA from 1 species